CAAUGGGGAAUUGCUUCUUAU
rnacentral:miRNA from 1 species